AUUGAACGCUGGCGGCAGGCCUAACACAUGCAAGUCGAGCGGGAACUUCGGUUCUAGCGGCGGACGGGUGAGUAAUGCGUAGGAAGCUACCCGACAGAGGGGGAUACCAGUUGGAAACGACUGUUAAUACCGCAUAAUGUCUACGGACCAAAGUGUGGGACCUUCGGGCCACAUGCUGUCGGAUGCGCCUACGUGGGAUUAGCUAGUUGGUGAGGUAAUGGCUCACCAAGGCGACGAUCCCUAGCUGGUUUGAGAGGAUGAUCAGCCACACUGGAACUGAGACACGGUCCAGACUCCUACGGGAGGCAGCAGUGGGGAAUAUUGGACAAUGGGCGCAAGCCUGAUCCAGCCAUGCCGCGUGUGUGAAGAAGGCCUUCGGGUCGUAAAGCACUUUCAGUAGGGAGGAAGGGGUUGUAGUUAAUAGCUGCAACUUUUGACGUUACCUACAGAAGAAGCACCGGCUAACUCUGUGCCAGCAGCCGCCGUAACAC
rnacentral:rRNA from 1 species